AAUAGAAAAUAUUGAGGAUAAAAUAGAAAAAAUUGAGGAUACAAUAGAAAAAAUUGAGGAUAAAAUAGGAAAUAUUGAGAAUAAAAUAGAAAAACUUGAGGAUAAAAUAGGAAAUAUUGAGAAUAAAAUAGGAAAUAUUGAGGAUAAAAUAGGAAAUAUGGAAGAUAAAAUAGGAAAAAUUGAGGAUAAAAUGCAAGCCCAAUUAGAAGAUCUAAAAAGUUUCUUACAGGAUCAAUUGGCAAACAACCACUCUACCAGAAACAGACCUGUUUCUGAACCUUUGAAUGAGGAAAUUUCCUUCCCUGAAAUAGAGAUGGAAAACACCUUCCCUAUAGCCCAGUUAACAGACUGCUUCUCUCGUGUAGUGCAAAUCUUGUCUGAAUUUAAUCCCCAAAACCCUUCCCCUGCAAUCCCAGCUUCUCAUGUUCCUUCUCCUACAGAAAACCAAAUUCCAAUGCAAGGGAGAUCUUGUCCUCCUAGAGAAACCUGUCCUUGUCAAACUGACCCACAGGUGCAAAAUCCAACUAGAGGCCUGUUUCCUCUAAGAGAAGUACCUGAAAUAGGACAAAAUGGGGAUGUGGUGACUUUAAGACAUAGGAUACCAUUUACUCCCCAAGAAAUAAAUGAAUUUACACGAAAUAUCCCCACAUAUGAACAAGAUCCUUUUCUAGUAACAAAAAAGAUGGGAGACAUAUUUUUUCAGUAUAAUCCAUCUUAUAAGGACAUUGAGAGCUUACUCCAGGCUUUUUUAAGUGAAAGUGAAAAAAAUAAAAUAAUUGCUCAUGUCAACAAAACCCGGGGGCGUAAUGCAGCACAUUGGCCAUCUCAGGAUCCCGAAUGGGACUAUAAUAAUCCUGAGGACUAUCUACAACUAUACCGUUGUAGAGAGGCCAUCCUCACGGCCAUGAAAGAAUGUGCAGACAGUACAGAUAAGUGGAUGGAACUGGAAAAAAUUAAGCAAAAGGAAAACGAAACACCCUCCAGAUUUAUGGACAGAAUUAUCGAGUUUGGGGACAGAUACUUAGAUUGGGACUUAACUAAAGAGAAUAGUUUAAGACAAGUUAGAAGAAUCUUUGUAAACAAUUCUUGCAAAGUAAUUAAAAAUUAUUUUAAAACACAAUGCCCAAGAUGGUCAGAUAUGGACCUUGAAGAAUUGCGAAAAACAACUAUGUA
rnacentral:lncRNA from 1 species